GGAACACACAACACAUUACAGUCCCUAAGGAAAAUCCUAGCUGCUAGUACUCUUGAGGCAAGAAGAUGGCUUUCCUUCUCCAUUACCUAGCCUACACUUUUAAAGUCUUAAGGACAUGCAAGAUAUGAGGAUAGACUUGCUUCAAGAUUAAAAGCUAGCAAGAUAAAUCAGUUUCUAACAAUUUCAAUCAUUCACUUGGCUUUCAGCGCCCUUUCAAUUUAGCUGGCAAUUUUCUAAAGCUUGUAAAAU
rnacentral:misc_RNA from 1 species